AGAUUAUAUUCAUUUAUGGGAUGGGUUAGAAGUACAGUAUGCAAGAAAUCGUGGGCAAAUGAUCAUCAUAAUACCCUUUAUUAUAGCCAUUCUGCCUACUCUGAGUAGUUUGAAGAUGUCUUCUUAUCAACACAAUAUUUUCUCUAGUCUCCUCUACUAUUUAUAGUCCAAUUAGUUUCUUUUCUCCAACUUCUUCCCAGCAAGAUGGUGAUUUACAGGAUCUCCUGUAUAAAGCUUUAUAAGGAGCCAUUUUACUGUUGGUAUGAUAAUUGUUAUUGGAUACGAAUUCAAUCAAAGGCAAAUGAUCAUCCCAGUUCCCUCUCAA
rnacentral:lncRNA from 1 species